rnacentral:rRNA from 1 species
CGCGUAGGCGGCCACCGCAAGUCAGUUGUGAAAUCUCUGGGCUUAACCCAGAAAGGUCAACUGAUACUGCGGGGCUAGAGUGCAGAAGGGGCAACUGGAAUUCUCGGUGUAGCGGUGAAAUGCGUAGAUAUCGAGAGGAACACCUGCGGCGAAGGCGGGUUGCUGGGCUGACACUGACGCUGAGGCGCGAAAGCUAGGGGAGCGAACG